rnacentral:rRNA from 1 species
AUGAGCCGAGGCUUUUCUCCUCCUGGCUCAAAAUUCUUCAGAGAUGUUCUGAACUUUUUCGAUCUGCGACCUCAAGACAUUGGACCCAAUUCCGUGUCGAACAUUUGUAACUUUCAAGUGUUCUGUGAGGUAUAUCUUGGAGAGGAACCCAGCCUGCUACUCUUUAGGGAGUUAUUUUACCUGAACCGCCAGAAUGAAUGCGCCAACGGGCCUAGCUUGGAACUUGGUGGAAUAUCAAUUCAACGACGGAGGGAUUGUCUCUUUCCUUAUGCUGAGCCGCCAAGCCACCCAAAGGACUGGAAUCAGACAUGGUUCUACUGCCAGGAUACUUCUCCGGCUGAUGAGAACCCUCUGCCCGGCUUUCGCGCCCUGCGUCUGGAGUCAAACCACCCCUGCCAGACAAAUUGUCUCAAGCUGAGCGUCAACCACUUAUCCCCACCAUCAACAAAAUCAAAGCUCUUCUGGGAAACGGCCUUAACGGCGUUGAUCUGGUCCGGGUCUGGAUUGCUUGGCGGGUGA